rnacentral:misc_RNA from 1 species
AAGUCGUAACAAGGUUUCCGUAGGUGAACCUGCGGAAGGAUCAUUACCUUUGGCUGCCGUGAGCGCUUCGGCGUGAGCGACAGUCAUUCUAUAGUGACGCCUCCGUGUCCGGGAAACCGGCGCGGGGCUGACCUAACCCUUCUCUACGAGUACCUAUUAUUCUCCUUCGGCGGGGUCUACCCGCCGCUGGAACUUAAGAACCAACUUGCAUUUAGCAUUACCUGUUCUGAUAACAAUUAAUUAUUACAACUUUCAACAAUGGAUCUCUUGGCUCUG